rnacentral:rRNA from 1 species
UGCCAGCCGCCGCGGUAAUACGGAGGGCGCAAGCGUUGUUCGGAAUCAUUGGGCGUAAAGCGCGCGUAGGCGGCUUGGCAAGUUGGGUGUGAAAUCCCGGGGCUCAACCCCGGAACUGCACUCAAAACUGCCUCGCUAGAGUCCCGGAGAGGAUGGCGGAAUUCCCGGUGUAGAGGUGAAAUUCGUAGAUAUCGGGAGGAACACCAGUGGCGAAGGCGGCCAUCUGGACGGUGACUGACGCUGAGGUGCGAAAGCGUGGGGAGCAAACAGGAUUAGAUAC